CCAGUGGGUUGCCUUCCACGAAGC
rnacentral:siRNA from 1 species